AAGACCCACCAUCAGAAUUCGCAUUUCCUUCUUGGCAAAAAGCCGGCUGAAAAGCUUCGUAAAUGUCAACCCCAUUUCCACCCUCAGCUGUUGAUCCCUAAACACAAUAACAGCACUUAAGUCAGCCGUAAAUUUUACAUCCACAAAUAUCUAAAAGCACCCAAUAGCAGCUCCCAGCCAAUGGAAGUUCCACAGAACGAUCUUUGGAGAGAAUAGGAUCUGUGGGUAAAAUCAAAGAGAGAGCGAGCGCGCGCAAAAGCGAGAGAGAGAGAGAGAAGUGAGAAACGAAGCUUGACACCAACGCGUUAAAAAGGAAUGAGAAUCGGAAAGGAGAGAGAGUUAGAAAGGGAACAGCUGUUGGAUUUUGAAUUAACGGAAAUGCCCUUAUGUUUUGAGUAAAUUAUUGAUGAGUUACGCUCUUGGCCGGCUACCAAGGGGGUAAUAACGGAACUAUGAGUCGUCAGUUGGUGG
rnacentral:misc_RNA from 1 species